GACGAACGCUGGCGGCGUGCUUAACACAUGCAAGUCAAACGGAAAGGCCCUGCUUUUGUGGGGUGCUCGAGUGGCGAACGGGUGAGUAACACGUGAGUAACCUGCCCUUGACUUUGGGAUAACUUCAGGAAACUGGGACUAAUACCGGAUAGGAGCUCCUGCUGCAUGGUGGGGGUUGGAAAGUUUCGGCGGUUGGGGAUGGACUCGCGGCUUAUCAGCUUGUUGGUGGGGUAGUGGCUUACCAAGGCUUUGACGGGUAGCCGGCCUGAGAGGGUGACCGGCCACAUUGGGACUGAGAUACGGCCCAGACUCCUACGGGAGGCAGCAGUGGGGAAUAUUGCACAGUGGGCGGAAGCCUGAUGCAGCAACGCCGCGUGCGGGAUGACGGCCUUCGGGUUGUAAACCGCUUUCGCCUGUGACGAAGCGUGAGUGACGGUAAUGGGUAAAGAAGCACCGGCUAACUACGUG
rnacentral:rRNA from 1 species